GCUAGCGUAGUGUAGUGGUUUGAGUGUUAGACUUCAACUCUGGAGACCAGGGUUUGAAUCCCAGUUCAGCC